GGGCCAGUAGCUCAGCCGGUUAGAGCAGCGGACUCAUAAUCCGUCGGUCGUGGGUUCGAGCCCCACCUGGCCCA
rnacentral:tRNA from 2 species